rnacentral:rRNA from 1 species
AGCGAACGCUGGCGGCAGGCCUAACACCUGCAAGUCGAACGAACCCUUCGGGGUUAGUGGCGGACGGGUGAGUAACACGUGGGAACGUGCCUUUAGGUUCGGAAUAACUCAGGGAAGCUUGUGCUAAUACCGAAUGUGCCCUUCGGGGGAAAGAUUUAUCGCCUCUAGAGCGGCCCGCGUCUGAUUAGCUAGUUGGUGAGGUAAUGGCUCACCAAGGCUACGAUCAGUAGCUGGUCUGAGAGGAUGACCAGCCACAUUGGGACUGAGACACGGCCCAAACUCCUACGGGAGGCAGCAGUGGGGAAUCUUGCGCAAUGGGCGAAAGCCUGACGCAGCCAUGCCGCGUGGAUGAUGAAGGUCUUAGGAUUGUAAAAUCCUUUCACCGGUGAAGAUAAUGACUGUAGCCGGAGAAGAAGCCCCGGCUAACUUCGUGCCAGCCGCCGCCGUAACAC